UCUGAACUCCUCCACCUGGGUGUUACUGCAGCCAGAGAGCUUUGUAUUUAAGCAGACACACCCCAGGAACAUCUGAGUUAAAGCCCGCAUUUCUUUUCCAUUAUCUUGUCCCACAUUCUCAUAAGCUUAGGUCACAUAUGUCUUACAAUAAGGCAGACUUUUUUCCACACUUCCCUCUCCACAUGUCUGGUGGCUCAGGCUGGAUCCACGAAGCCUGGUACCUUCUGCAGGGACACAAGAGGGACCUGCCAUGACAGUGCAGCUUCUUGGCACAACACCCUUCGUUAUAAAGAACAUUAGGGAGCAUUUCCUGCUGUUAUCGCAUGGAGCCUCUGCAUGCAUCUGGGUGGCACCCUCAGCAAGAACCAAGAGCUGAAAGUAUUAGUUUUCACAAGGGUUAUUCUUACCUCUCCCAAAAUGUUUCCCACCAUGCUAGAGUGUGAUUUCUGAAACAAAUAUGUUCUGUUUAUUUAUUUAAUGUGCUGUUAAAUGACCUUCUGUAAAGCUAUUACUGCCACAAGGCUUUAAAAUGGAUGGGCAGGCAUAACUUAAGAGAGCAUGCUCCUUACAAUCAGGAUGAAUCAUUUGAGUAGUUACUGUUUAGAUUGAUAUAAUUUUAGUUAUAAUUAUGGGUAACGAGAAGGCAUUUAGAGUCUGUAAUAUUGUAAUUCAUGGUGAGAGGAGUCCUAAAUGAAAUAAAAUGUAUCCAGAUUUGCUUUUUCUCCCUAUCUAGGUAUUAUGCACGUAAGCAUGAUUCUUUAAGGAACAGAUUUUCUGCUGCUGUAAAAAUCUAGCAAAAGUAGGUCAAAAAUGACAUCUAGAGAUAACAUGUUUGGUAACCACAAAGGGACUGUCUGUGUCUUUCUUUUUGGCCUUUUAAGAGUCCUAUAACAUAUUACUAUAGGUACAGCAGCAGCAUGAAAAGAUUUUGAUCCAUAGACUCCCGCGGCCUGUGGUGGGUGGAUCACAGCAAGGCCAGUUGAAGAGGUUUCCAGCCUUCCCCGCUGGCUGUGCAGCCCCAGCCCUGCACUGGGCCCUCCUGCUGGGGAUUGUGUCAUACCAUAGGGUGGAAAUCAUAGAAAGGAGCAAGGACUGGAGUGGGUUUGUUGCCAGAAGUGUUUGUUGUAGACCUACACUCUGUCCGAUGUGCCUCUGUCAGCUCUACCAAGGUUUAACAGUGUCCUUAAUGUUGCUCUGUACAUGCUACCCUUGUGAUGGGGGAGUGACCGGGAGUAUUACUAACCUGAUUUUACAGCUGGUCUAAUACAAAAGCCUAAGGGCCAUCGUUGCAAUGAAUUAAAAAGAAAAGGAGGCAGGAGUUUGGCUUCUCAGUUUUCCAGUCCAAGCCCUUGAUAAAUAUUUCCCACUGGCAGAGAACCAGUACUCUGCAGUUACUUUGCUUCAAACCAAGUCUACUUCCCAGAUUUAGCACUUUCAAUAAUACUACAUGCUGCUUAAUCGUCCUAAUGGCAUUCUGGAGGCAGAAUUGAAUUAAUCAGGAGUUGUCGCUCUUGCAUUCAGCUGUUUCACCGCUGUCCUUGUUGGCUUAUGCUGGACCAGCCCAUAGUGUCCCGCAUCCAUGAGUUAGGCAGAUGCUCUGCAUGUCAGAGCCCCUACAGAGCUUGGUAUGCUCCAAGGCAGGACUAACAUGGCAUGCCACAGGUAGCUUUCAUCCUGGUGAAGGCUGCAAAAAUCUACUCAGAAAGGUAAAUUCCAGUGCCUGUACCACCUCUGCAGUCUGUACUUGGACCAUUUGCAGAAGGUGAUUCUGCAGCUGAGAGCUUGGCCAGAAGCAGAGCCAGCUCAUGGCAUUACCAUAUUUUAGCUCUAGGCAUUGCAAUAGUAAGGCUUCUGGAUUUCUUUAAAAUUCAAACAAGGUGUAAACUGACACAGCUUUGUCCCUUUGCAGUGAAAAAUAGUAGCUUUGCAAAGUGUGAAUUGCUCUGGAGCCUUACCUCUGAAACCUAAAGACAACAUUUUAAAGUGUCAACAUGGAUUGCUUUUAAUAUCUUUUAAGUGGACCUAAGGUAUUCACCACAAUUUCAGACUGGCUUCCAGGCAUCCUUAGUUGCCAAAAGUCUCCACAUUCAGCUGCCAAACCUCUUCUUCCCUUCCAGCGAUUUCUCCAUAGCAGGUUUGUGUUGCCAACGCAACACUCCGCAUCACUGUGAAAACUGAAAAGGUGAAGAUAUUGUAAAACAAACCAAAUUAUGAGCUAAAUAACAUGAAGUCAAUGAGCUUUUUUGUUUUCAUAUGGAAUUCUUUUGAAAGCUGAGUUUAUUUUACUUUAUUUAAAGCUACUACUGAAUUUCCAGUUGAUUUAGCCAGAACACAGGGAACACACCGCAGGAUUUGAGUUGUGUUUGCUGAAAUGUCCAUGGCCUUGAACAGAUAAUAUAUUUUUCAGUAACAUAUUUCUCUUUGCCUACUGCUGGUCUUUUUUUCUCUGUGCUCUCUGCAGAUUGACUUUCACUGUACUUAUUGCCUGCCUCAUUUCUCACCCUAUUUUUCCAGUUGUUUUUUCUACUGCUUCUCACAGUAUCUUUCUCCCAGGUUAUAAGCAAAAAAGAACUCUACUUUGGGCUGAACUUUUAAACCCACAUCUUGAAAUUAAAUAAAACAAGCACCUUCUGUCUCUAUGUAGAAGCAACUUCACAACUCGAGUCACUUAGCACUUUUAGUAGCUGCAGAAUGGAACAGGUCCGUUGGAAGAACGGAGGCUCUUAGCAUUAAAGCUGGAGAGGUGCCACAACAACCAGAAAUAACACAGCGAUAGUCGGGUAAUUAAACACAACGUGGGUACCAAGAUGUUGAACUCACCAUGAGGAUUUUAGAGUAUAUCUUGGCUGGUAGCAGAAAGAAGCUCAUUAUAGUGUCCAGGUUUAAGUGACAUGGGGGAAAAGCAGAGAUACAGAGGAACAUACUCAGUGGU